AUCUGUGAUUAGAACUGCUGCAAUAGGAAGUGCCGUCUGAUGCGAGAACUGACGAUUGCAACACAGCUGAGA